UACGUAGGGUGCAAGCGUUGUCCGGAAUUAUUGGGCGUAAAGAGCUCGUAGGCGGUUUGUUGCGUCGGCUGUGAAAACCUGAGGCUCAACCUCAGGCCUGCAGUCGAUACGAGCAGACUAGAGUGUUGCAGGGGAGACUGGAAUUCCUGGUGUAGCGGUGAAAUGCGCAGAUAUCAGGAGGAACACCGGUGGCGAAGGCGGGUCUCUGGGCAACAACUGACGCUGAGACGCGAAAGCGUGGGGAGCGAACCGG
rnacentral:rRNA from 1 species